rnacentral:tRNA from 1 species
GGGGAUGUAGCUCACAUGGUAGAGCGCUCGCUUUUUAUGUGAGAGGUAUCGGGUUCGAUACUUGACAUCUCCA